rnacentral:rRNA from 1 species
CCCUUAGACGUUCUGGGCCGCACGCGCGCUACACUGACGGAGCCAGCGAGUAUAAACCUUGGCCGAGAGGUCUGGGAAAUCUUGUGAAACUCCGUCGUGCUGGGGAUAGAGCAUUGUAAUUAUUGCUCUUCAACGAGGAAUUCCUAGUAAGCGCAAGUCAUCAGCUUGCGUUGAUUACGUCCCUGCCCUUUGUACACACCGCCCGUCGCUACUACCGAUUGAAUGGCUUAGUGAGGCUUCCGGAUUGGUUUAGAGAAGGGGGCAACUCCAUCUUGGAACCGAGAAGCUAGUCAAACUUGGUCAUUUAGGGGAAGUAAAAGUCGUAACA